AGUCUCGUGGUGUUAUACUACAUGCUGAAUUGCAAAUUCAGAGAAGCAGCUUCAAUUCUGCCGGGACUU
rnacentral:tRNA from 1 species